AACGAACGCUGGCGGCAUGCCUAACACAUGCAAGUCGAACGAUGCCUUCGGGCAUAGUGGCUCACGGGUGCGUCACGCGUGGGAAUCUGCCUUUCGGUUCGGAAUAAUUCAGGGAAACUUGAGCUAAUACCGGAUAACGUCGCAAGACCAAAGAUUUAACACCGAAAGAUGAGCCCGCGUAGUUUUAGCUUGUUGGUGAUGUAAAGGCUCACCAAGGCGACGAUCCUUAGCUGGUCUGAGAGGAUGAGCAGCCACACUGGGACUGAGACACGGCCCAGACUCCUACGGGAGGCAGCAGUGGGGAAUAUUGGACAAUCGGCGAAAGCCUGAUCCAGCAAUGCCGCGUGAGUGAUGAAGGCCUUAGGGUUGUAAAGCUCUUUUACCCGGGAAGAUAAUGACGGUACCGGGAGAAUAAGCCCCGGCUAACUCCGUG
rnacentral:rRNA from 1 species